AACGCGAAGAACCUUACCUGGGUUUGACAUCCUCUGACAACGCUAGAGAUAGCGCUUCGGUAGCAAUACCGCAGAGAGACAGGUGCUGCAUGGCUGUCGUCAGCUCGUGUGGUGACAUGUUGGGUUAAGUCCCGCAACGAGCGCAACCCCUGUCCUUAGUUGCCAGCAUUCAGUUGGGCACUCUAGGGAGACUGCCGUGGUGAACACGGAGGAAGGUGGGGAUGACGUCAAGUCCUCAUGGCCUUUAUAUCCAGGGCGACACACGUGAUACAAUGGACGGUACAGAGGGUCGCGAAGUGGCAACACGGAGCUAAUCCCAAAAAGCCGUUCUCAGUUCGGAUUGGAGUCUGCAACCCGACUCCAUGAAGUUGGAAUCGCUAGUAAUCGCGGAUCAGCACGCCGCGGUGAAUACGUUCCCGGGCCUUGUACACACCGCUGUA
rnacentral:rRNA from 1 species